CGCAGACGACGCGGGGGUGCUAUACAUGCAAGUCGAGCGGACAGAAGGGAGCUUGCUCCCGGAUGUAGCGGCGGACGGGUGAGUAACACGUGGGUAACCUGCCUGUAAGACUGGGAUAACUCCGGGAAACCGGAGCUAAUACCGGAUAGUUCCUUGAACCGCAUGGUUCAAGGAUGAAAGACGGUUUCGGCUGUCACUUACAGAUGGACCCGCGGCGCAUUAGCUAGUUGGUGGGGUAAUGGCUCACCAAGGCGACGAUGCGUAGCCGACCUGAGAGGGUGAUCGGCCACACUGGGACUGAGACACGGCCCAGACUCCUACGGGAGGCAGCAGUAGGGAAUCUUCCGCAAUGGACGAAAGUCUGACGGAGCAACGCCGCGUGAGUGAUGAAGGUUUUCGGAUCGUAAAGCUCUGUUGUUAGGGAAGAACAAGUGCGAGAGUAACUGCUCGCACCUUGACGGUACCUAACCAGAAAGCCACGGCUAACUACGUGCCAGCAGCCGCGGUAAUACGUAGGUGGCAAGCGUUGUCCGGAAUUAUUGGGCGUAAAGGGCUCGCAGGCGGUUUCUUAAGUCUGAUGUGAAAGCCCCCGGCUCAACCGGGGAGGGUCAUUGGAAACUGGGAAACUUGAGUGCAGAAGAGGAGAGUGGAAUUCCACGUGUAGCGGUGAAAUGCGUAGAGAUGUGGAGGAACACCAGUGGCGAAGGCGACUCUCUGGUCUGUAACUGACGCUGAGGAGCGAAAGCGUGGGGAGCGAACAGGAUUAGAUACCCUGGUAGUCCACGCCGUAAACGAUGAGUGCUAAGUGUUAGGGGGUUUCCGCCCCUUAGUGCUGCAGCUAACGCAUUAAGCACUCCGCCUGGGGAGUACGGUCGCAAGACUGAAACUCAAAGGAAUUGACGGGGGCCCGCACAAGCGGUGGAGCAUGUGGUUUAAUUCGAAGCAACGCGAAGAACCUUACCAGGUCUUGACAUCCUCUGACAACCCUAGAGAUAGGGCUUUCCCUUCGGGGACAGAGUGACAGGUGGUGC
rnacentral:rRNA from 2 species